UACGGGGGGGGGUAAGCGUUGUUCGGAAUUACUGGGCGUAAAGGGCUCGUAGGCGGCCAACUAAGUCAUACGUGAAAUCCCUCAGCUUAACUGGGGAACUGCGUGUGAUACUGGAUGGCUUGGAUUUGGGAGAGGGAUGCGGAAUUCCAGGUGUAGCGGUGAAAUGCGUAGAUAUCUGGAGGAACACCGGUGGCGAAGGCGGCAUCCUGGACCAUAUUGACGCUGAGGAGCGAAAGCCAGGGGAGCAAACGGG
rnacentral:rRNA from 1 species